UUUAUAGUUGCGCCAAAAGCAACGAACACUAGAAUUUCCCAAAGAGCAGCAGCUCCUUAAGUCCUGCGCGGUUCAAAUCCAUAGAGAAGUAGCUGAAAAUUGCGCAGUUUUGUGAUUACAUAAUUGGGACACUGAGUGAACUGAUACCGACCAAAAGUUAGCCAGUCUUAAGACUGGAUGAGUUCCAAAUAGGUAGAUUUCGACAAAUUUGAAAAUUUAUUUGCGAAGCAGCAGCA
rnacentral:sRNA from 1 species